UACAGCCAUAUCACGUUGAAACACCGGUUCACAUACGAUCACCGUAGUUAAGCAAUGUUGAGCCUAGUUCGUUCCUGGACGGUUGACAGCUCGGGAAUACCAGGUGCU